rnacentral:rRNA from 1 species
GACGAACGCUGGCGGCGUGCUUAACACAUGCAAGUCGGACGGUGAUGACAGGGCUUGCCUUGUCUGAUCAGUGGCGAACGGGUGAGUAACACGUGAGCAACCUGCCCCAGACUCUGGGAUAACCCCGGGAAACCGGAGCUAAUACCGGAUACGAGGCGUGGGGGCAUCCCCAACGCCUGGAAAGAACUUCGGUCCAGGAUGAGCUCGCGGCCUAUCAGGUAGUUGGUGAGGUAACGGCUCACCAAGCCUACGACGGGUAGCCGGCCUGAGAGGGUGACCGGCCACACUGGGACUGAGACACGGCCCAGACUCCUACGGGAGGCAGCAGUGGGGAAUAUUGCACAAUGGGCGCAAGCCUGAUGCAGCAACGCCGCGUGAGGGACGACGGCCUUCGGGUUGUAAACCUCUUUUAGCAGGGAAGAAGCGAAAGUGACGGUACCUGCAGAAAAAGCACCGGCUAACUACGUGCCAGCCGCCGCCGUAAAAC